CGUGGGUGUGGGCGCUAUUAAAACAAGGCUGAAAGUUUGGGAUGGGUCAUUCACACGCGCUUCUUUAGCCAUACUUGAAACCCAAUUGUGGCUUUUAAUGUUUUGAAAUCGUUGUGGGAUUUAUAUAUAGCUCAAUGGAUCCCGAUGCUACGUCGCGUGCCCUCUGUUGGAUUACUCUAGUCGUCGCCACGCUUAUUGAUGGGAUAAACGCGGAUAAAAGUUCGGCCCUCUGUACGAAAUCUGAAUUUUGGAAUAGAGAUGUUGACGAUUGUGUACCUUGUUCUACAUGUAAACAGUACCCGAAAACCCCAUCAUGUGACACAUGCCCACCCAUAGAGCCUUUGGAUUCCUGGAGGGUGGCAGCAAUUACCAGUUUGUCUGUCCUGGCAGCUGUAAUUGUUUUUGGAGCCUUGCUCAUAGGCGUCCUAGUACAUCAAUGCAGGUCCAAGAGGACACUACGAGAGCCAAUUGAAGAGACAAUAGGACCACUUUAUCCAAUUUAGGUUUUUCAAGAGCUUAUGGAACACAAGCUGGUAGGAUAUGAAAAUGGACUGUUACUCCAGUAAAUGAAUACUCCAGUCACUGAAACAUUGGCUGGUACCUCAACCACAGAGUGUUCUACGAGUAGUAAUUGAUUUGUCUAAUUUAUUACAUACGAAAGCUA